AGGGAAGAGCGGGGCGGCGCCCGCGCGUUACGUGAUGAAACCCGCCAGGCGGGCGCAACAGGAGGCUCCCCUGCGGGGGCAGUGCGCGGCCCGCCGCGUCACGUGAUGCUCCCUGCCAACAGAGUUCUUACACUAUUUUAAAUGGCAACAGAGGAGAAAAAUAAGUGGGGAGAAGAAAAUAUGCUGCACCCGAAGAAUCUUUAUGAUGUCUGUAACUUUAAGCUGAAUGAAGAUUUCAAAGAAUCUAGAGGAAGUCAAAACUGCAAAAUAGAAGAAGCAUGGGGCCCCAAAUUAGUCCUUGAAGGAAUCCUGUCCCAGAGAACUGCAUGACCAGGGGCAGUUUGCUCUGUGACCUCACUUCUCUGACAGAUGUAUGAAGAGUUCAUUUUUCAGUUUGUCCAGCUUUUUACCUGUUGUUAUGACAGAGUGCUGACUUCUAAGCUCCUUAUAUUUGGGACCAGAAACCAGAAGAAGGGAUUUUGAAGUGCUCAUGAGACACCCAAAGUAUACCAAGGGAUAGUAAUGUGGCUUUCAAUAAGCUGGAGAUACAGGCCCGAACGAUAUGAGGGUACAAGUACUGCAGUUGGUGAAAUCAUGGAGUAUAUGAAGUCUACCUAGGAGUGAGCUCCCAGAAGUGAGACAGAGUCCUGGGGAAUCCCAACAUUAAAGAGGCAGCAUACAAUUUUGAAGGAGCACUGAAGAUAUAGCCAC